GUGCUCACUUCGGCAGCGCGUGUAUUCUAAAAUUGAAAUCAUACAGAGAAGAUUAGCAUGGCCCCCUGCAUAAGGAUGACAUGCAAAUUCAUGAAGUGUUCCAUAUUUUU